CCUACGGGAGGCAGCAGUGGGGGAUAUUGCACAAUGGGGGGAACCCUGAUGCAGCGACGCCGCGUGGGUGAAGAAGCGCCUCGGCGCGUAAAGCCCUGUCAGCAGGGAAGAAAAUGACGGUACCUGAAGACGAAUCCCCGGGUCCCCACGUGCCAGCAGCCGCGGUCAUACGUAAGGGGCAAGCGUUAGCCGGAUUUACUGGGUGUAAAGGGGGCGCAGACAGGGAUGCAAGCCAGGAGUGAAAGCCCGGGGCCCAACCCCGGGACUGCUCUUGGAACUGCGGGGCUGGAGUGCAGGAGGGGCAGGCGGAAUGCCUGGUGUAGCGGUGAAAUGCGUAGAUAUCAGGAGGAACACCGGUGGCGAAGGCGGCCUGCUGGACUGCAACUGACGUUGAGGCCCGAAAGCGUGGGGAGCAAACAGGAUUAGAUACCCGAGUAGUC
rnacentral:rRNA from 1 species